CAGUAAAAUAGCGUGUUGUAUUUAAAAAAAAAAACGACCGGUCUCCCGCCCAAAAGUAGCAGCCCUUCCUUUGUUCCGGUCUGGUCUUACCCGGCCACUGUAUCUUAUGAUAGUAACACAGCAGCUGAGCAACUAAAGGCGACGGAAGACUUAGUUACAUUGUAUUUGACGCCUGAGGACGAUUUCACACAGUCACCCCCAUGGAGCAGAUACGUAUGUCCACACAAGCCUACGAAGAGAUCUAGGAAGAGAUCUAUUGAGCCUGUGAAGCCAUACACGACCGGUCUCCCGCCCAAAAGAAGAAGCCCUUCCUUUGUUCCAGACACGCCUUACCCAGACACUGUAUCGGGUGUUCCUAACACCACUGCAGAGCAGCUAACGGCACGC